rnacentral:rRNA from 1 species
CCUACGGGAGGCAGCAGUGGGGAAUAUUGCGCAAUGGGCGAAAGCCUGACGCAGCGACGCCGCGUGAGGGAUGAAGGUCUUCGGAUCGUAAACAUCUGUCAGCAGGGAAGAACGGUCACUGUGCUAAUCAGUAGUGAAUUGACGGUACCUGCAAAGGAAGCACAGGCUAACUCCGUGCCAGCAGCCGCGGUAAUACGGAGGGGGCGAGCGUUAAUCGGAAUUACUGGGGGUAAAGCGCUCGUAGGCGGUAUGUCAAGUCAAGGGUGAAAUCCCCGGGCUCAACGUGGGAACUGCCUUUGAGACUAGCAAACUAGAGUGUGUGAGAGGAAAGUGGAAUUCCAGGUGUAGGAGUGAAAUGCGUAGAUAUCUGGAGGAACAUCAGUGGCGAAGGCGACUAUCUGGCACAUAACUGACGCUGAGGAGCGAAAGCGUGGGUAGCAAACAGGAUUAGAUACCCCUGUAGUC